rnacentral:rRNA from 1 species
AGCGAACGCUGGCGGCAGGCCUAACACAUGCAAGUCGAGCGGCCGUAGCAAUACGGCAGCGGCAGACGGGAGAGUAACACGUGGGAACGCGCCCUUCGGUUCGGAAUAACUCAGGGAAACUUGAGCUAAUACCGGAUACGCCCUAACGGGGAAAGAUUUAUCGCCGAAGGAACGGCCCGCGUCGGAUUAGCUAGUUGGUGAGGUAAUGGCUCACCAAGGCAACGAUCCGUAGCUGGUCUAAGAGGAUGAUCAGCCUCACUGGGACUGAGACACGGCCCAGACACCUACGGGUGGCUG